AUUUUGGAGGUCGGAGCAAUGGUAGGGGUGUUCACAGUUGAAUUUCUUCCUAAACAUAAAAGGUGUUUAAGAGACAAAUUGGGGGCAUUCAAAUAAAAAUAAAUGGGUAUCUAGUUCACAAAGUGGGCUCGUUUACUUAACAAGAGUGUCCUUGAUGUGUACAGUUUAAAAUGAUUGAGAGAGAGAUGAUUUGUUGUUACCAUACGAAUCUGUUCUGACAAUGUUUAAUUUCACUUAAUUUAUUUAACUAUUUUAAAAGAAAUGUAUUUCACUUAGGAAUCUUUUCAUGGCCAAUUUGAAUCUCCUUCAGGGGUAUUUUGAGGGGAUGGGAAGAGAGGCUCAUGUGUCUCGCACAUUUUCUUACAGCGGUUUUGCAGAGGCUCACUGGAGCUUUUUAAAAUAAAGAAGUUUAGAAUGUAAAAUUAUUGGAGACUAUAGAGGAAGGGGAAGGAGGAGUAGAUUUAUAGCUGAAGUGGGUUUGUAAACUCAGCGUCUGCUUUGGGAUUAUUUUUUAAUAUGUGCCAGACAUUCUUCUGAUUUUCAUCCUGGCUUGGUUGUGGCUCUUUCUCUGUCUGUGUGAGGCUGGGGUGUUCCCUGUUUUAAAGCCGUAGUUGUCGCAGCCUGGGCGUUUUCUGUUUCGGCUUAUGGCUUUUUUUCUCUUUUCCUGAAUGAGUGUCCUUUGUGUAACCCCAGUAAUUCAGAAAUCCUGCAGUCAUAGGGACUGCCCUAUCAUGUGACUUAGGUACUAGGUGCUGGCUGCGAUUGGUCAGCAGCUAAUUGGCGGGUCCCUAUAAGAGGUCUUGGGUCGGGCGUCCGGCCACUCUCCUGCCUGGGCUGCUGCUCAACGGGGGCUGGGGGUGUGUGGGGCGGGGGUGGUCUGUCCAGUGAUUCAGCCACAUGUGAUAGAUGACCAAGUGACUGCUUUCUUGGAGUCCGCACACCAGUGGAAGACUCUCAAAGUGGUUGUGACCGACUUGAUCAAACUCUAGGCUUCCUGAACUGGAAUGAAAUGCAGAUAACUCUUUAGAAAACUUUUGUAGGAAAAGCGCCUCGUGUGAUCUGGAACAAAGACGUUUUAUAAUCAGAUUUAUCAAGCUGCGAAGAGGGAGUUUUAGUGAACGGAAGCAGCAGCAUUCUGUCACCAGGAAAUACUCCUUUAUCCAGAAUUGGUAAGUGAAAAGUGGCAUUGCUCCCUAAUAGAUAUCAUAUGUGUGUGUGGGAAUUGAAAAAUUGUUCACAGACCCCUAACAACUGUGUUGAACAGAGAACACAUAAACAGUGAGGAGUUCUAAAAAAGAGCAGCACGAGAAUACCGCAUAAAGACUGAGAAGAAGCCAGGUAAUUAACAAAAAUGAGCUGAGUGCUAUCAGUUUAGCUAAACAUAUGUAAUACAGCUAGAUUUGGUUGUUUUAUUUUUUCUUGUUAGUGGAGGAGAAACAUAAAAUCAGAAUGGGCUGUUUAGUAGAAUUGCGACAUUAACUUUCCAUGGAUGUAGAUUUCCAUCUAGUCUGAAUAGCAUGUAUGAAAUUUGAAGGGAUGCUUUCAGAAUUAGUCUACUUGCCCUCCUUUCCUUUCCUCUGCAUUAAGAUGUCAAGUAUUUAGUUAGAACCUUACAAGAUGAAAGUUGUACAAAAUGAAAGUUCAAGUAAUGCGUCGGAAACACCUCUCCUGAUUGGGAAGGGUAGAUUACAAUGGCAAUAGAUUUUUGUUUUUUCUUUCUUACAUUUGUGUCACGAAUUUUAAGUUUGUUCUAUUGGAUUACAUUAGUACAGCAAAAGGGGGGUUAUUUCUAUCUAUAUGGUUCAUGACAUUUUGAGAGGUCGUGAUUAGUAGUUCUUACUGGUUUCGUAUGCAUGUUCCUGCCUGUUGAAUUCAGUUUUCUAAUCUUGAAUCUGAGCUGCCUUUAUGUUAAAGGGUUCUAGAAAAAGACAAUAAAGCUUUGAAUGCCUGUGUUAUAUACAACAGGUUCCUGUUCAUGAUGUAUAAGGUAACGCAAUUUUAUUUUAGGCAUGAAUGUCUAAUUUCUUGAUUUGGCUUCUUAAGAAUAUACUGAAAAGGUUGAAUAGAAUAAGAAAAAGAACAUUAGAAAAGAAUGGUGGGUGACUGCCUGAUUUUACUAGUUUCUUAUUGGUCAAUAGAAGUAAUCAUGUGAUGUCUACUUAUAGAAGCAAAUGGAAAAAAUUUUUCUUCUUUAACUGCUAACAAUUAUAUAGGCAAUUUUAGCAAUCUUCAUUUAUUAAUUCGAAUAUAUAAUUAUAACUGUUAUUAACAGAAUAAGUUUUGGGUAAUAUAGGAAAUAAUAAUUAUUUCUUUCUUUUUAAGCCAAAUUGGAAGUUGAAUCUACUUUUGGUUCCUGUUCUGUUACUUUCAAAAUCUUAAAAUCCUUAACUCAAAAGGGAAAAUGUAUAAUAAAACAGGAUAGCAGUGCUGAAAUUUCUCUCUCUUAGCAGUGGAGUGGGAUGAGGGUGGGGCAGGGAGAUGAAUCUAGUGAGAUAUAUUAAUUGUUUUUUCCCCCUCUUGUAUACUUGGAUAACUUUUGAGAUCAGUUUUCUCAGACUAGCAGCUCUCAAGACUUUUGCAUAAGUAUUUAUUCUUAAAGAAAUAGAAAGACAAGAUAAGCACGGCUCUUAAGGGCAGGUCCUCCAAUAAGUCAGGAAACUGGUGAUCCAAACUUGUGAAUAUGACAAGUCAAUUUGACUUAAUUAAGGAAUGGCAUUAGUUUUCUUGAAGCACAUGAAUUUAUAGGUUUUUAGAGUCUUGAAGACAGAAAAAUGGCAACAAACCAUUAAGGUAUUUACAGGUAAUUUAUAUUCAACUGCUAGCUUAUGUUUUCAACUCUGUAUUUCAUGUAAGUAAAUACUUGGGGAGAACAUGAUGAUUUAAUAAUCUGGAUAAAUACUGCCGUGCCUGUUGGAAAAAAGCCUCUAAUUUUUACGUUUUCCUCAUCCAUUUAAAAUCCAUUGUUUUGAAUGACAAAAUGUGAUAGAAACAGGUUGGAACAGUAAAUGCUAGAAAGUAUAUCCCAGAAGAAUUAACUGAGAACUUCAUGUUUUCAAUUCUAUUUGCCGUUCUCUGUUCUCAAUUUAUUAAUUUUUAAAAGUACAUCGAAAGUGAGUAGCAUUGCUUGCUCUGAAUUCUCCUCUGGGGUCAUUGAGAGUAUUCACAUUUUCGUAUACACUGUUAAAAGAUAUUAAUGCCAUGCAUAUGCCUUUGUCUUUGUGGGUAUGUAAAACAACAAACUGAAGGGAUCUGGUCAAGAGACAGACCUCAAAAUAAUUUCUCUGAAAUAGUGUUUGAAUUUGCCUGUUCGGGAAUGUAAAUGCUUUCCCUUUGGGCUUGUUUCUGAAGUUUUUGGUGUAGUAUACAGUUUUACCCAAUUAAAUUUUUCUUUUGAGGUCUGUAUAUGUAUGGGUGUCUAUAUUUGAUUUGAAGGGGGAGUUUUAAUCAUUAGUGAAACAAGUGGCUGUUUGUUAGAACCCAGAUAAGCCUCAUAGUGUUGUUCCUAUGACAACUGAGUAGUUGGGUGUUGAAAUGUAGCUUUAAGUUCUUGGUUUGGAAAUGUCAUUCAGACCUCCCACUAUAGUCUCAUUGAGUAGGAGGAUAAUGAGAAGGGGAAAAACCAUGAAGCAACAUAAGUAUCUCCGUUCGUUUCAUGUCUUCCUGACUUGUCUUUGUGUACAGGAUCGCCAUGGGAGUGGUAAACAUAGGUCUUGAACAAAGCAAUACUUCAAUAAAAAAAAUACACGGAAAGGGUCAGAAAAGUUGGGGAAGAUAAAUAACAACACAUGGGGGCAAUAAAGAGGCAAGAGAAAUAGGCUUCCAUGGGUUUCUGCAAAUCCUUUAUCCAGUACUGACCAGCAGUGAGAACAUCUUGAACCAGUUAUUGUAUAGCUCUUCAAGAGCUGUGAAUUUCCUUAAAAUGCAAUGUGGAGAAAAUUCCUUUGGUAGCAGGAUGGUUUACCACUUUGGCAUAACAUUUAUUCAUCUCCCCCAGGCAGACUACAGAGGAUACUGUGUUCUUUUAAGGCACAUGUUUUUAAACCAGUUGUUCAUUUGUCAUUUAAUAGCUUUUGUCUUUUUUCUAUGGGAAAGACAAGGUUGUACUAUUAAAAUAGUGAUAAAAUUUAAGUAUUUUAUUCUAUAUUCAAAAAGUGCUUUUGAAAAGUACUUAGAAAAAGAUUGUUUGAGACCUGUUGUUUGUGGAAAUGUCUGUCAAUGGAGAAUCUAUGGAGCACUGUAUUUGAGGAGAGGGAUUGUUCAGACUAAUAUUUGGCAUAGCUUAAUUAUGCAGUUGUUGAUUUUCCAUGUCUGAAGGUCUUCCUAUUUCCUACUCCUAAAUAGUUUUAACUAUUUAUUUGGUUGCUAGAACCUCCUGAAGUUAGAAAGAAAAAGAUUUCAGUGGGGUUAGUCUCUUAAUAAAUAUAUGCCCACCAUCUCUUCUGUAAUCCAAAAAGCUCUGAAAAUCAAAAGAUUUUCAUGUAACAAAUUUGGCAGCAAAUCCUGACCUGAACUGAUGUGAAGCUAAUGAUAGUCUUUGUUUAGCUCGCUCAGAAUGAGUCUUUGUAUGUUUUACUGUAGAAGUAUUAAUGUGUUUGAUCACGGAGUAUUGUUCCAGACUCCCCUAGAGGUUUAUAUACUAUAUUGAAUAGUCAACCUAUUACCGUUAUAAAAUAAUAAUAAUAAUCAAUCUGAGUGUCAGGUAAGCAUUUGUGGACCCAUAAUUACUGACAUACAUUGAGUUCAUAUUAUAUGCCAGGUACCAUUCUAAAUGAAUCACUGGCAUCUAAGAACAGUGUCUGGCACAUAGUAGGUACUUAGUAGACACGUUUUGGUAGGAACUGCUUUACACUUAUUAAAUUCUUUAACUCACAAAAACAGUAUACAGGAAGUAGCGGAGCCAAGAUUUGAAAGCAGACAGUCUAGCUCCAAUCUGCUCUUAAUGAUUCUGAUGCAGGUACAAGAGAGGACUGGAGAUGUGGCACUGGACUUCUUAACUGAGUCAGAGGGGGUGUUUGAGUGAUUUACUUUAUUCAUAGUCGCCCUAUACCUCCUACGAUCAAGAGCUGGUGGUAUCACCACUAUGGUCAUUAGCCGGGGCUGUGGCUGAAUGCUUAUAACAGGUUCUCCUGGGUGGGAGUGUAGGAAUUCCAGGGGUCUGAACUCUCCUCACAGGCUUCCCAAGGUGAUCUCCAUCAGUAAAUCAGCCCGACUUUUUCAUCUUGAAAAAUUAAGACAUAGGAAAUAACUCUUUCCUUAACCCUAAGGAAGUUUCCUUGAACAGUGGGAAAAACGUUUUUGUAGACAUUCCUUAGACCCCUUACCCAGCAGGAGGUGUGGAAUCAAUAAAGAGGGCAUGGGUCACCUCCAAGGUUGUGAGCUCCCUGGCUUGGGAACUACACUGGGACACAGCAGAGCCUCUUGGGAGAAAUCAGGCAGCCCAUGGAGCUUCAGCUGCAUGACUCUUUGAAUUCACAAAAGGAUACCUUUAACAGUACUUCUCAAAAAAUGUAUAUAAGGCAUGUCUCAAGUCCCUAUAUGUUUCUAGGGAUAAAAAAAUUCAUUUCAAACUGAUGGCAACCUCCCCAUUCUAUUCCCCAGCUUUCUAUCCUUCUUCCUGCUUAAUUUUUCUUCUUAGCACUUGCCUCUGUCUGACAUAUUGUAUGUCUUACUUAUUUAUUCAUUUGACAUUUUAAUUAGACACUAGCAGUAUUGUUUUCUUUGAAUACAUUUAAAGGUCCUAGAUUUAUUUCUUUUUGAUGUUCAUCUUCUAACUCAUUCCCUCCUAUCAAUCUCAGACUGCUGUAAAUAAAUGAUUUUUUGCCUUUUUUUUUUACUAUUAGUUAUCAUAUUUAUUUUUCUUAAACAAGCUGUACUGGUUAUACAGUCUGAAUUUGGAGAAUAGACGUCUUCAUUCAGGAGGGGAAAUUGAGCCAAGUUUGAAUAUAAUCAUUGGGUAACAAAUCCAGAAGAUUAAGUUACUAAGGAGAACAUGCAAAGUAAACACUUGCAUUUUAUGAACUACCUUCAAUUUAAAUAGACAACUGGGUAACUGUAUAUGACAUGUUUUGGGAGUAAGACCUGUUAAACCUACCUACUUCCUACUGUUUUCAUUUGAAAAAUAAAUCAAUUAUUAAACAGUUAUUCUACACAUUAAAGACUGUAAGUGAUUUAACCUUGAAUAUUUCCUGACUCAAGUUCUUAAAAUCCUCAACUCUAACCUCUUGUUUUUCAACCCCAUAUUUAUUCUAGUUUAUUCUUUCCAACAUAUUUAGGGUAAUCUAAAACAUAAAGUAAAAAAAACCCCACAUAUAUUAUUAACUAUAAACAAUGUGGUUAUGUAAAUGCAUCAUUUUAGUUGAUCUUUUUUCUUUAGCCUAGUUCUUUUUUUCUUUUCUUUUCUCUCUUUUUUUUUUUUUUUUUUUUUGAGACAGAGUCUUGCACUGUCACCCGGGCUGGAGUGCAAUGGUGUGACCUUGGCUCACUGAAACCUCCACCUCCUGGGUUCACGUGAUUCUCCUGCCUCAGCCUCCCGAGUAGCUGGGAUUACAGGCACACACUGCCACGCCCGGCUAAUUUUUUUUUAUUUUUUAUUUAUUUAUUUUUUAUUUUUAGUAGAGACGGGGUUUCACUAUGUUGGCCAGGCUGGUCUUGAACUCCUGACCUGGUGAUCUGCCCGCCUCAGCCUCCCAAAGUGCUAGGAUUACAGGUGUGAGCCACCGCGUCUGGCCUAGACUAAUUCUUAAAGGAACAGAUUAGAUACAUACAAAAGUUGAAUUUAGUAUGCUUUUGUAAGUUAAUAUAAUGAUUGGGACAUUUUGUUUUCUUAGCUAUGCUUUAUAACAAAAUAGUUCUAGUUACUUUCUUUUAAAUGGUUACUAAAGUAAUAAGUUGCUUUUUAAAAACCUAGUAUAACUAUUUAAGGUAGACUAUGAAGAGUAGGCUUAGGUUUCAUUUUAAAUUAUCUCCCCUUUCUGCCACGGAAGAGUUUAAUUCCCCUGAUGUGCUUAUGGUAUUGAAAGCCCAUUGUUGGUGUUGGUAUUGAAAGAAAGCUUAGUUUUUCUGCGUUUCCUAAAAGGAGAGGGAAGAAAGAUUUUUAAAAGUGAAAAUCCAUUGAUUUUUUUUUUUCUUGAUUAGGAUUUGUAUAAUAUAUCUGAAGUGAGACUAGAGUUCUUAAAGUUGAGAGAAACAGUAAAUAUGUACACGCCCGGCAAAACUUUGCAGGGAACAUUCAGAGUUCGGAUUACCUGAAAAAAAUCUUGAAAGCUUCAGACAUUUUCCAGAGAGUGUUAGUGCGUGAAAGUGGUACCCAUGACCCCAAGAGGGUGUCCAUUCACAGCCUCCAUUGAAGUAGUUUACUCCCUAAGAGGCCCAGGCUUUGGAAAUAAGUAGAUUUGUGCUUUAAGCUCCCUUUGCCCCUUGCUAGCUGAGUAAGCUACUCCGCUAUUUCCCUGAGCCCCAGAGUGUAGAGCAUCAGAAGUAGUGCACAGGUUUGUUGUGUGAGAUAACACAUGUAAAGCACAUGCUGUGGAACCUGGAGUAAUGGUGCUUAACACACUUGCAUUCCCUUCCAAAAUCCCUUUAGGAACAGACUUCUUCAGUUUAGUCCUAAAGCCUGUAGAUCCAUGCUAAGUGAUAUGACUUUUUUUCACAUCAGAUUAAGCAAAACACUGAUGAUGGUGACUGUCGCUUAUUGUGCAGUUACCAUGUUCUGGACAGGCACUGUUGUAAGGGCUCUACCUGCAUAGACCCAUUUUUCCUCAUGACAAACUAUUGGUGCAAUUAUCAUGCCCAUUUCAUAGAUGAACACACAGAGGCACAGAGAGGUAAAGGAACUUACUUAGGGCCACUCAUCUGUCAUGGAACCAGAAUCUAAAUCCAAAUAGGCUGUUGCCAGUACAGAUGGUAAGUACAUGUACUUCUGGCAGGAAAGCAGAAUAAAAGUUGACUGAACCUGAAAGUCUCGGAAAUGGUCUUCUCAUUUCUAUUCUGUAAAGUGUCAUGUCUUCUAGGCCUACCUCUGUCAAUAUUGAAAUACAAAAUUAACUUUUUCUGCUUUUUAUUUCACAAAUCAACGGGAACAGUCUUAGUCAUUUGUGUUUUAUGAGUUUUAAUUAGGCCACUGCAGUCCAGGAGGGGAAUUCCUUGUUUUCAGUUGAUCUCAUAUACUAACAAGUUUAAUCAUGUAACUUCCCCUAUUUUUUUCUCUAAUGUUUUCACUUGAAAGUGGGGGUGGGAGGGAGAAGUAUGUUAGCAUUUGAGUCCUAGGGAUGCACUUACAUCAACCUUUCUGGAAAUUCCUUCUUGCUGGCAUAGAACUAAUCCGUAGAAAAAUGAAAUGUGUAAGAAUCUGUAUUUACUAAUAUUUUUCUUCUUUAUCUCCAUCUAGUUCUGGAUAUUUUCUGGAGGAUGGGGUAAAACUUCGAGAUAAAGAAGUACAGGAAGCCAUCUAUGUGCAUAAAACCUUAUGUUUGGGUGUGGACUUAAUUUUCAGAAUAUGGGAAAGGGGUUUCACAUUGAGAAUUUCCUCUUUCAGAUGUAGAUUGAGAAUUUUGACUUAGAAGAUGAGGGCAUGUUAUCCUAGCCCGUGGGUUCAGAGUGCUUGGAAGUCUCUUUAAAAAAAAAAAAAAUCCCCUGGCCUUGGACUGAGCCUGCUCUUGGAGGAUUUAUUAAUCAUGCCGGCCUUCAUUCUUUCCUUUGUUUGUUCAUUCCUUCAUUUGUCCAUACUCUCGCAUAAGUCGUUCAACAUCUACCUGCAAAUAGGUGAAAGAAAGGAUGGGAGUGAGAGUCCAUCAGGGGAUGGGAGAGGAGUAGCAAUAAACUCACUCUAUGUUCCUUUCACCUCACCGACUGCAUCUUGUAUCUGAUUGUUUGCCCCUUUGGAGACAACGUAUAUUUCACAGACAGACACUCACAACACUCAUGAAGGUCUUUAAGCAUCUUCCUUUGGGAGCUGCAUUUCUUUUUUUAAAGUGAGAGGAGAAAAUGCUUGUGAGGGAAAAACAGUGCAGAGAAAUGGUUUUUCUUUCUUUCUUUUUAAUGUUGGCGGAAGAAGGGUUCAUAGUAGGGAACGUAUCAGUAAAUAUAAUCUAAGAGCACCCAUGCUUUCAAAUAAUUUCCUUGUUUAAAGAUAUUAAGUGCAGUAGCGUUUACAAUUAAUGAUCACAACCAGUUACAGAUUGCUUUGUUCUUUCUCUACUCUUGCUGCUUCACCUGCCUACGCUUAUAAUAAAAGAACAUUAAGAGACAACAAAGGCCAUCACAAAGAUGUCUUCAAAAAUAAUUUUAAAAUAGAAUUUUAAUUAAUUUAAAGGUAAGAAGUGUUGCCAUGCCCUCAAUCAAAUUUAUUAUGACUUUUUGAAAAUAUCUCUAAGUAAAUAUAUAGAAAAUGAGGAAUGAACAUAGGGGAGGGCUUUUGGAAUUUAUACUACUAUUCUUUCAAAAAAUAUUACUCGUCUCCAUGUUGCAGUUAGGAAUACGCUUCCUUAAGACAGAGUCAUUAUCUUUACUUGUUAUUUAAGUCUUGAUAUCACCUCCUAUAGUUUUUGAAAGACAUCACUCUUCAAGUUGUCUUCAAUGGCACAAACUAUACCUGUGCAUUUUCUGAAACAAGUUUGACCAUACCAGCAAAGGCAAUGAAAAUGCUUUGUCUUUCAGCAUGAAAUGUGAAGUCUACAUUAUUAGUGGGUAUAUAUGGCCCAAGGGAAGAAAAUGUUAAAGUAGAUUUAAAAACAAAAACAAAAUCACUCACACUCUAAAAGAAUGUCUCAGUAUUUCAAGGCUCUUCUCUCUCUCUGUGUUAAAACCAAUAAGGAGGCCUCAGGACAAGUUAGGUUGAUAAUGACAGUGAAUAUCUACCUUUCUCCCCAUUCCGUUUGACAUCCAUACUCCAAAAGACCUUCCCUUAUUUUCUAUGCAUGGGUAGCAGGGAGAUUAUAGAGAAACUGUUCUUUUUCCUGCUUUCUUUUUUUACUGCUGGGGGAGUGAUCACUUUCCUACAGCUCUUGUCCACCUGGCCCUUGAGGCGUUUGGAGUUUUGGUAAGGUGUUAACAAAAAUUGUCUCAGGUGCCAACUAAAUUUCAUAAGCUUAUAGCAGCACAACAGACUAAGACACCACAUGGGAAAUGUACAUUUUACAAAAAUGUAUUAUACAUCUACCAUGUCUACCAUGUGCCUUACAGAGUUCUGGGUCUGAUAAUACAGCAGUGAAUAAAGUCCCCGCUCACAUGGAGGGGGUAGGCUGAUGGUGAUGGAACUCAUAAGUAUACGGCAGGUGUUAGUAAACACUGCAGAGAAAAAUAAAGCUGUGUCAGAGAGAGAGAGUACCUGGGGAUCAGGGGUAGAGCGACGUUAACCAGGGCUAAUAGGAAGGCCUCUUUGAUAUUAUUAGGCCAGUGAGGAAUCAGCUGUGGGAGUGUCUGGAGGAAGAGGAUUCCAGGCAGAGAAAAUAAAAAAGUAACUGCAGUAGAGACGGGAGCAGGCUUUGUGUGUCCAAGAGACACAUCAUGGCAGAUCAGGUAGGACUCUGUUGGCCACAGUAAGAAGCUGUUUGGAAGGUAGGAAAUGAUAACUAGAGAGAGUGAAGAUGGUAUUCUGAGAGUCUAUGUGAUUUAUUGUAGGGAUCCCAGAGAGUCGAGCCCCUUGUGCCUCAUAACUGGAGUGUUUACAAGCCGUGUAAGGCCUUCUUGCAGUAAAAUGCUACUUUUGUAAUUUAAAUUAUUAUGCUAUGAAAACCUUAGCAAAGAUAGAUAAAGUUGAACUAUUUGAAGCACAAUUACAGCUAAAAAGCGCAAAGUGGGCAAUUCUUCCUAUCACAUCUACUCCUCAGAGAGAUGUGGGGUACCUGAAUGUCUAACUGUGGAAUGUUUUGAUUUGAUUUAAAUUUGCCAAAAACUCAUCUUCCAUAAGGCAUAUCUUUGCUGAUUUUUGCACUCAGUAACAAGCAGUUUAGAAUUUUGAACUGAAGGGAUUUUAAAUCCAUGUUUAAAGUGCUUUCAUUUUAAAAUAAUUCUUAGUUUUAUGUUCAGUCAGAUGAUAAGCUCCUUUUUAAAAUUCUGUAUGAAAACUUACUGUUUGGUACAGGUUAAGAAGUCUUGUUAUACAGUACUUAUUUUAUUGGAGGUACAAAGAGAGUGUGGAAAAAUAAAGGCAAUUGGCCAGGUGGGAAGGGUAAAAUUGUUUCAUGUACCUUUUCUCUUGUAAAGUUGUGUUAAAAACAUUUUUGUAAUUUCUUAAAGGUAGAGUUGAUUGCCAUAAUUUGAUUGCAGCCCCCUGUCAUUACUUCACUAUUAUACUCGGAUACUAAAUGCCCCUUACUAAAUGUAAGGAAAUGGGCAAGUUCUGUCAUCUGGGAGUUUACAUGUUAAGAGACAUUGCACGGGUGAGAACAGACAUAAAAUGUAUAUGUAAUUAUAUCGACAACAUACAGGGCUUAGAAAGGGGCUUGAUAGCCUUUUAUAGGUGUCGUCCAGGUUUAUCUUACUUGAAAUACUGCCUGAGACUCUAUACCUAAUUCUUAUCACAUAGCCUUUCUAUUAGUCAGUGAUAGAUUUGGGUUGGGUUAACCCUCAUAUUCUUUUAGCAAGGGACCCACCUGCAGAAAAGAGUUAUUAUUGGUUUUGUCAUUUAUAGUUUAGUUCAACAAGACCGGAUUUCCUCACCGCCUUUGGCUGAAACUGACUGACUAAAUCAGUUUCACUUGUGGGGUAGAGAAAUGAGUAAUUUGGGAACAUAGAGCGUUGUGUGGAGGAGAGCUUAGUUUGCCCCUCUUCAUCCUCCCCUUAGGUAAGAAGUCUGCAUUGAGAGAGGGAGAAAGAUUUGGGACAUCAUGGGGAAACUGACCCCCUUGAGUGAGACACAUUGGGAAUUAAGAGAAAGAUGUAAAAAUGGACCAGGAGAGGAUGUACAGAAGCCCCAGGGGAGCCAGAGAAUUUCUGGUCCUAAGCUCAAGUGUCAGCCUCAGUUCUGCCUAGCAUCUUGGACAUGCUGUCCCUGCUGGCUUAUCUCCUGUAAGACAAGGGGCAUACUCCUGACUUACUGAGCAUCCCAUCUCAGAGGAGCUGGGAGGACAAGGAAUUCAGGAAUGGACUUUCAAGACAACAUCUAACCCGAGUCUUCUGCAGACAUUUCUCUACUGAAUCUACUUUCUAAGUGUAGAUUAAUGUCUAAGAGAUAGACAUUAAGUUUCUUUUUCUACCAGCCUCUGACCCCCUUGCUUUGAGGAAAACACAUGUGUUGUCCAUGAAGUGGUGAGUUCUGUUUGGUCCUUCCUCUAAGAUUGGUCCGGGGCUUGAGCCGUUUUGCCCCAUGUGCUCUGGGAUUUCCCCCGGUUGUCCCCCCAUAUAAGUAGACAACUUGCUGUCUGUGUUCUAAGACCUUCAUAUUUUUCCCUUUGACUUGAGUCUGUUCUGGAACAAUUGUGUGGUGGCUGGGCACUGCAAAAUGAGUCAGUUCCUGCAGUUUGGUUACAAGUUCUCAAAAAGUAUUUCAGAAUGUGGAUGUGGUCAGCAGAGUCAUUUUCCAGACAUCUAAAAGGAAACCCACAUCAACUGUAACAAUUGAGCUACGAACCGAUGGCUCUACACAACAGAAUGGGGCCUGCUUUUCCUCAAAGCCUGUAGGUGCCCUCACAUCUAGCAUUCUCUAUGGAUCGGAAAGGAGAAUUCAUCUUCAUGCUUGUAGAUCACAUUUUAUCUGUUACUGUUGACAUAAAAAAAUGCGAUAGAGGUUUUGGCCUUCAUCACCUUUUGAAUGUGGGCACAAAUUUGACAUAAGAAAUAAUUAGUAAAAUGGAAUCUAUGGGAUUAGAGUAUAAUUAGUGCAAAGUGUGAAAUGUGGCUUAGGGAUAGAUGCUUGGGUAAUUGAACUAAUGCACGAAGGAGAGGUUAAGAUGGUUUGGGUACCGAUAGAGUACAUCGAAAUAUGCUUAUUUGGUUUACUAAUAGUCUGAACCUGUGCAGACUUAGCAGCAAUACUGAUAAAAUAUCAUUAAAUCCUUUUCAAGCUUUAAAAGAAGUUCAGAUUUGUCAUAACAUUUGGAGAAUAUUUUCGCUCCACACAAGUUUUGGAAAAUAAUCUUUGUGAAUUUUUUUAUCCUCUUGGGUAUCAUGAAUUGUAAAAUUUUGUUGCAGUUCUCGGUUACCAGUCUUGCUCCACUCAUUAAAACUGAUGGCAUUUUCAAUAAUAAGAAAACAAAAUUUAAAAAUGGGUAAACGAUUUGAACAGACACUUCACCACAGAAGAUACGCAAAUGGCAGAUAAGCACAAGAAAAAAUCUUUUCAAUGUCAUUAGUGAAACACAAGUCAAAACCACAGUGAGGUACUGCUACACACCUAUCUGAAUGGCUAAAAUUUAAGAAGCCAGCCAUGCCAACUGUUGGUAAGGAUGUGUAGGAUUUAGAACUCUCAUGUAAAAUGAUACAAACAUGUCAAACAUACACCUAUCAUAUGAUUCAGCUGUUUCACUCCCAGAGAAAAGAAAGCAUGUGCUCACCUGAAGACUCGUACGUGAAUAUGCGUAGUAGUUUUAUUAGUAAUAGCUAAAAGCUGGAAACAAUCCUAAUGUCUAUCAACAGGUAAAUGGAUAAACAAAUUGUGGUGUAUCUGUAUGAUGGAUACUACUCAAUAAUAAGAAGGAAUGAACUAUUGAUACCUUCAAUAACAUGGAUGACCCUAACCCAUGAGAGUCAUAUCAUAUGAUUCCAUGUAUACAGAAUUCUGGAAAAUGUGAAAGCAGAUCAGUGGUUAC